rnacentral:rRNA from 1 species
CAGUCGCCACGGUAAUGCGAAGGGGGCUAGCGUUGUGCGGAAUCACUGGGCGUAAGGGGUGCGUAGGCGGAUUCUUAAGUCAGGGGUGAAAUCCCGAGGCUCAACCUCGGAACUGCCUUUGAUACUGGGGAUCUUGAGUCCGGAAGAGGUGAGUGGAACUGCGAGUGUAGAGGUGAAAUUCGUAGAUAUUCGCAAGAACACCGGUGGCGAAGGCGGCUCACUGGUCCGGAACUGACGCUGAGGCACGACAGCGUGGGGAGCAAACAGGAUUAGAUACCCCGGUAGUCCCUGUCUCUUAUAC